rnacentral:rRNA from 1 species
UAGUAACGGCGAGUGAAGCGGCAACAGCUCAAAUUUGAAAUCUGGCUCUUUUAGGGUCCGAGUUGUAAUUUGCAGAGGGCGCUUUGGCUUUGGCAGCGGUCCAAGUUCCUUGGAACAGGACGUCACAGAGGGUGAGAAUCCCGUACGUGGUCGCUAGCUAUUGCCGUGUAAAGCCCCUUCGACGAGUCGAGUUGUUUGGGAAUGCAGCUCUAAAUGGGAGGUAAAUUUCUUCUAAAGCUAAAUAUUGGCCAGAGACCGAUAGCGCACAAGUAGAGUGAUCGAAAGAUGAAAAGCACUUUGGAAAGAGAGUCAAACAGCACGUGAAAUUGUUGAAAGGGAAGCGCUUGCAGCCAGACUUGCUUGCAGUUGCUCAUCCGGGCUUUUGCCCGGUGCACUCUUCUGUAGGCAGGCCAGCAUCAGUUUGGGCGGUGGGAUAAAGGUCUCUGACACGUUCCUUCCUUCGGGUUGGCCAUAUAGGGGAGACGUCAUACCACCAGCCUGGACUGAGGUCCGCGCAUCUGCUAGGAUGCUGGCGUAAUGGCUGUAAGCGGCCCGUCUUGAAACACGGACCAAGGAGUCUAACAUCUAUGCGAGUGUUUGGGUGUCAAGCCCGAGCGCGUAAUGAAAGUGAACGGAGGUGGGAACCCGCAAGGGCGCACCAUCGACCGAUCCUGAAGUUUACGGAAGGAUUUGAGUAAGAGCAUGGCUGUUGGGACCCGAAAGAUGGUGAACUAUGCUUGAAUAGGGUGAAGCCAGAGGAAACUCUGGUGGAGGCUCGCAGCGGUUCUGACGUGCAAAUCGAUCGUCAAAUUUGGCAUAGGGCGAAAGACUAAUCGA